AGGUUCCAAAAGAUGUCAUGAAGAAUUUCUUUGAGAGAAUUUGCGUGAGCUGAUCUGUAGCAGUGCGGAAGGUGAGCUUGGCUGCCGGCAGCAGCUCCUUUGGCUGAUCUGCGGCGAUGCAGAAGUUGGGUUGGAAAAGAGCACGACCGGCUGCUCUGAAGUGGGUCGUAGGGAGAGCUUCGUAAGAGAUAGGGAGGGAGCUCUAUUGGCCCGUGCAUGACAUCCAACCCAAUGGCAUCAUGCCCUGGUAGGCAUGGUUGCAUGGCCACGGGGAGAAUGGAGCAAGUAGCGUGUGAGGAGUUUAAGAAAUGGGGACAAGGGACAGUUUAGUUAAUUAAGUCUAUGUUAGUUUCAAGUUUUAUCCUUGUUGCGGUAAAAAAUUAAGGUUGAAUUAACCACCAUGUACAUCUUUAAUUACUUUUAAAUAAGAAAUAUAAUCAAAAUAUUCUUUUGA